rnacentral:rRNA from 1 species
UACGGGAGGCAGCAGUGGGGAAUAUUGCACAAUGGGCGCAAGCCUGAUGCAGCCAUGCCGCGUGUAUGAAAAAGGCCUUCGGGUUGUAAAGUACUUUCAGUCGUGAAGGAAGGUGUUAAGGUUAAUAACCUUAGCAAUUGACGUUAGCGACAGAAGAAGCACCGGCUAACUCCGUGCCAGCAGCCGCGGUAAUACGGAGGGUGCGAGCGUUAAUCGGAAUUACUGGGCGUAAAGGGCACGCAGGCGGUUAAUUAAGUUGGAUGUGAAAUCCCCGGGCUUAACCUGGGAAUGGCAUUCAAGACUGGUUAGCUAGAGUCUUGUAGAGGGGGUAGAAUUCCAUGUGUAGCGGUGAAAUGCGUAGAGAUGUGGAGGAAAUACCGGUGGCGAAAGGCGGCCCCUGGACAAAGACUGACGCUCAUGUGCGAAAGCGUGGGGAGCAAACAGGGAUUAGAUACC